rnacentral:misc_RNA from 1 species
CAGCCGCGUAAUUCCAGCUCCAAUAGCGUAUAUUAAAGUUGUUGCAGUUAAAAAGCUCGUAGUUGAAUUUCGGGGUUAGUAGGUUGGUCAUGCCUCUGGUAUGUACUGGUCUCACUGAUUCCUCCUUCCUGAUGAACCUUAAUGCCAUUAAUUUGGUGUUUUGGGGAAUUUGGACUGUUACUUUGAAAAAAUUAGAGUGUUUAAAGCAAGCUAACGCUUGAAUACAUUAGCAUGGAAUAAUGAAAUAGGACGUUCGAUCCUAUUUUGUUGGUUUCUAGGAUUGACGUAAUGAUUAAUAGGGAUAGUUGGGGGCAUUAGUAUUCAAUUGUCAGAGGUGAAAUUCUUGGAUUUAUUGAAGACUAACUACUGCGAAAGCAUUUGCCAAGGAUGUUUUCAUUAAUCAAGAACGAAAGUUAGGGGAUCGAAGACGAUCAGAUACCGUCGUAGUCUUAACCAUAAACUAUGCCGACUAGGGAUCGGAUGAUGUUAAUUUUUUAAUGACUCAUUCGGCGCCUUACG